UAGCAUAUCAAUAAGCGGAGGAAAAGAAACCAACAGGGAUUGCUCUAGUAACGGCGAGUGAAGCAGCAAUAGCUCAAAUUUGAAAUCUGGCGUCUUCGACGUCCGAGUUGUAAUUUGUAGAGGAUGCUUCUGAGUAACCACCGACCUAAGUUCCUUGGAACAGGACGUCAUAGAGGGUGAGAAUCCCGUAUGCGGUCGGAAAGGUGCUCUAUACGUAGCUCCUUCGACGAGUCGAGUUGUUUGGGAAUGCAGCUCUAAAUGGGAGGUAAAUUUCUUCUAAAGCUAAAUAUUGGCCAGAGACCGAUAGCGCACAAGUAGAGUGAUCGAAAGAUGAAAAGCACUUUGGAAAGAGAGUUAAAAAGCACGUGAAAUUGUUAAAAGGGAAGGGAUUGCAACCAGACUUGCUCGCGGUGUUCCGCCGGUCUUCUGACCGGUCUACUCGCCGCGUUGCAGGCCAGCAUCGUCUGGUGCCGCUGGAUAAGACUUGAGGAAUGUAGCUCCCUCGGGAGUGUUAUAGCCUCUUGUGAUGCAGCGAGCGCCGGGCGAGGUCCGCGCUUCGGCUAGGAUGCUGGCGUAAUGGUCGUAAUCCGCCCGUCUUGAAACACGGACCAAGGAGUCUAACAUCUAUGCGAGUGUUCGGGUGUCAAACCCCUACGCGUAAUGAAAGUGAACGGAGGUGAGAACCGCAAGGUGCAUCAUCGACCGAUCCUGAUGUCUUCGGAUGGAUUUGAGUAAGAGCAUAGCUGUUGGGACCCGAAAGAUGGUGAACUAUGCCUGAAUAGGGUGAAGCCAGAGGAAACUCUGGUGGAGGCUCGCAGCGGUUCUGACGUGCAAAUCGAUCGUCAAAUUUGGGUAUAGGGGCGAAAGACUAAUCGAACCAUCUAGUAGCUGGUUCUGCG
rnacentral:rRNA from 1 species